rnacentral:tRNA from 1 species
GAUAAGGUGGCCGAGGUUAGGCGCUAGAUUGUAAAUCUAAUUACGAAAUGUUAUAUUUCUCUUAUUA